AAUGGGGGAAACCCUGACGCAGCAACGCCGCGUGGGGGAUGAAGGCCUUCGGGUCGUAAAGCCCUGUCGGGAGGGAAGAAAUGAUUGAGGGUUAAUACCUCUUGAUCUUGACGGUACCUCCGAAGGAAGCACCGGCUAACUCCGUGCCAGCAGCCGCGGUAAUACGGAGGGUGCAAGCGUGGUUCGGNAUUAUUGGGCGUAAAGCGCGUGUAGGCGGUCUUUUAAUGCUGAUGUGCAAGCCCCGGGCUCAACCUUGGAAGUGCAUUGGAAACUGGGGGACUUGAGUACGGGAGAGGAGAGUGGAAUUCCUAGUGUAGGAGUGAAAUCCGUAGAUAUUAGGAGGAACACCGGUGGCGAAGGCGGCUCUCUGGACCGAUACUGACGCUGAGACGCGAAAGCGUGGGUAGCAAA
rnacentral:rRNA from 1 species